rnacentral:rRNA from 1 species
CUCCGGAUCAAAGGUGAGAUUCCGCCGGAGGAGGGGUCCGCGUCCUAUUACUAGUUGGUGAGGUAACGGCUCACCAAGGCGAAGAUGGGUACGGGAUGUGGAGCAUAAUCCCGCUCAUUGGGACUGAGACACUGCCCAGACACCUACGGUGGCUGCAGUCGAGAAUCUUCGGCAAUGGGGGAAACCCUGACCGAGCGAGCCGCGUGCGAGAUGAAGGCCUUCGGGUUGUAAAUCGCUGUCGUAGGGGGGAAAUAUUGGUGGGUUCUCCCAUCAGUUUGACCUAUCCUAGGAGGAAGACGGGCUAAGUUCGUGCCAGCAGCCGCGGUAAGACGAACCGUCCAAACGUAUUCGGAAUCACUGGGCUUAAAGGGUGCGUAGGCGGUCCGGGAAGUUGGUGUGAAAGCCCUCGGCUCAACCGAGGAACUGCGCCCAAAACUGCCGGGCUGAGGGAGACAUAGGUGAGCGGAACCUAGGGUGGAGCGGUGAAAUGCGUGAGAUCCUA